CAAGUCGAGCGGCAGCGCGGGGGCAACCCUGGCGGCGAGCGGCGAACGGGUGAGUAAUGCAUUCGGAACGUGUCCCGUAAUGGGGGAUAACGCCGCGAAAGCGGCGCUAAUACCGCAUACGCUCUACGGAGGAAAGUGGGGGACCUGCAAGGGCCUCACGUUAGGGGAGCGGCCGAUGUCCGAUUAGCUAGUUGGUGGGGUAAUGGCUUACCAAGGCGACGAUCGGUAGCUGGUCUGAGAGGAUGAUCAGCCACACUGGGACUGAGACACGGCCCAGACUCCUACGGGAGGCAGCAGUGGGGAAUUUUGGACAAUGGGGGCAACCCUGAUCCAGCCAUGCCGCGUGCGGGAAGAAGGCCUUCGGGUUGUAAACCGCUUUUAGCCGGGAAGAAAAGGCUUGGGCUAAUACCCUGAGUUUUUGACGGUACCGGCGGAAUAAGCACCGGCUAACUACGUGCCAGCAGCCGCGGUAAUACGUAGGGUGCGAGCGUUAAUCGGAAUUACUGGGCGUAAAGCGUGCGCAGGCGGUUCGUUGUGUCGGUGGUGAAAGCCCCGGGCUUAACCUGGGAAUGGCCAUGGAAACUGGCGAACUGGAGUGUGGCAGAGGGGGGUGGAAUUCCGCGU
rnacentral:rRNA from 1 species